CAUGAGAGAGAAGCUGAGGCGAAGGCGUCUACCUAGAGGGUUUCUGUCGAUCAAGGGCGAGAGUAGGAGUAUCCAACAGGAUUAGAGACCCUGGUAGUUCCUACCUUAAACGAUGCCGACAGGAGUUUGUCAUUUGUUAAUGGCAGAAUCUUUAGGAGAAAUCAUAGUUCUUGGGCUCUGGGGGAACUACGACCGCAAGGCUGAAACUUGAAGGAAUUGACGGAAGGGCACACCAGGGGUGGAGCCUGUGGCUUAAUUUGAAUCAACACGGGGAAACUUACCAGGACCAGAUGUUUUUUAUGACUGACAGGCUUCGGGUCUUUCAGGAUAUUGUUUUUGGUGGUGCAUGGCCGUUGGUGGUGCGUGGGUUGACCUGUCUAGCGUUGAUUCAGCUAACGAGCGAGAUUAUCGCCAAUUAUUUACUUUGCCGAAGUCCUUCGGUUAAAGUUCUAAUUGGGACUCCCUGCGAUUUUAGCAGGUGGAAGAGGGUAGCAAUAACAGGUCCGUGAUGCCCUUUAGAUGCUCUGGGCUGCACGCGUGCUACAAUGUUAGGAUCAAUAGGACUGCGAGCCUGAGAGGGUGCGCUACUCUUAUAAUCCCUAACGUAGUUGGGAUUGACGUUUGUAAUCAGCGUCAUGAACCAGGAAUCCCUUGUAAAUGUGUGUCAACAACGCACGUUGAAUACGUCCCUGCCCUUUGUACACACCGCCCGUCGCUCCUACCGAUUGGAUGACUCGGUGAAAUCACCGGAUGCUUACGAGCAGAAAGUGAUUAAAUCACGUUAUCUAGAGGAAGGAGAAGUCGUAACAAGGUAACGGUAGGUGAACCUGCCGUUGGAUC
rnacentral:rRNA from 1 species